rnacentral:sRNA from 1 species
GUCCCUCACUGUCUCCCACCCACCCCACACAGUCGUGUGCCCCUGCCCCACAGCCCCACACGUCGGGCCAUACCCCCUCAGCUGCCACUGCCACCAGGCCGGUGCUGAGCUGGGGGUCAGUGACUCAUCUAAUCCCUUAGGCAGGUGCCCUGCACCCCCAACCCCACCCUGUCACCCCCUCAGCAGGAAAGGCCUGAGGCUCGAGGCCCCAGAGGAGCUUUGGACCUGUUGGGUAUCUUGAGGUGUGGGAUUAACGCACUGAGAUUGGGCAGAGAUAAGGGUUUCAGGGGACAAAAAGAAACAUUUGUUUGAAACAUGCCAGAGUGUCUCCACCCCGCAUCAGGACAGACUGACAGAGUGGGCUGGGGACAGGCUACCCCAUAUCCCUUCUGGCUCCCUGAGCGCCCCCUGCCCUCUGACCUGGGCCUCCAGAUCACAGCCUUGUCCACUCACCAGAGCCCUGGCACCACAGCCACACCAUGCCCGGCCAGUGCCCUGCCCAACCCUGCUCCCUUCCAGAUUCCCACCCAGGCAGCCAUUCUCAGGUACACAAUGUGCAGGACUCACUGUGACCUGCCCACCAGGCCCCCCCGAGGCAGACCCUGCAGAGGCACCAAGCAUUUUGAGGCUCGGAGGUGAGGGUGAGCUUCUGGGUGGCCUUCCCGGAGAAGGGGGCUUAGGGCUGUGCCUGAGCUCAAGGUAGGGGGGAUUCCAACAUCCCAGAGGGGCUGCAGAAGGCCGAAGAGGCAGGAUGGGUGAGCUGCAGGCCUCCUAGCCCAGAGGCCCGUCAGAACUACCCUCAGCUGCCAGGCAUCCGGCCCCACCCCGGAGGAAAGGCAACGGAUGGCUGGGGUUGGGUGGAGGGAGCCAGGCCAGAGUGCUGCAGGGUGCAACUUGAUCAGAAGCCUGUCACAGUGGGUGCAGUCCCAGGCCAGCCGCCCCAGGGCACCUCAGGGGCAUAAAGCCUACAGAGGAGCCACCUCAGCUCUGCCCUGCUCCCGUGUCCGGAGGAGACGCCAUCUUGCUGCACGAUGCUUCGGGCUCUGCUGAUCAGUUCCCUCCUUGCCCUGCUCUGGGCGUCCCCAGGCCAGGCCCAGGUCCCCAUCCAGGCCAACUUUGAUGCCAGCCAGGUGUGCCCAGCCCUGUUUCCUCCUCAUCUCCAAUGAGUCCUCCCGACUUUGGUGCUGCACCCCGGGUCCCUGUCCACACCCUCUUUGAUCCAGGCUCAGCAGGGCUAGGGGCAGGGGAAACCCCCACCUCACCUGCUCCGUCUGACUGGAGUAGGGGUUGGCUGGGGAAGACUGCAGCCUCCAUCCUACCUUUUCAGUUGCAUCCCCCAACACUCCCCAGGGCCCAAAAUUGGGACAAGUUGCAGUUGCCUGUGCCUCACUGUCCCCCACCCACCCCACAAAGACCUGUGACCUUGCCACAGCCCCACCCAUCCAGCCGUACCCCCUGGGUGCCAGCUGCAGACAGGCCGGUGCUGGGCUGGUGGGGGCCAGUUGCUCAUGUACUGAGGCCCCCCUCCCUCAGUUCUGCAUCGGGGUCGAGAUGUGUACAGCAGCCCCUGCCCUGGCCAGGAAGCAGCUGUGUCGGGGCAGAAUGUGGUGGGCUCAGGCCCAGGGCACAGGGGCGGCCUCCCAGCCUUCCCUGCACUUGCCCUGCAGUUCCAGGGCACCUGGUACAUGGUCGGGGUGGUGUCAGAUGACCAGGACUUCCUGGACUCCAAGGACACCAUGAAGAUGGCUGUGGUCUUAGUGACCCCCUUGGGGAACGGUGACCUGGCCCUCAAGUUUGGAUACCCCACGUAAGUGACCACACGAGCCCAUCAGACUCAGCCUCAGAGGAGGGCCAGCAUGAGGCCAGAUGAAGGUCCAGAGGGACCACGGUGUCCCCAGCACAUUGAGGUCAGACCACGGGUCCUCGACGGCUCUGUGCGGCAGAGCCCCAGAUGGCAGCCACACGGAGUCCAGAGGGACCCAGGCCCUGGAGGAAGCACUGCCUGAGGCCUGGUGUUGAGAAAAGUGUCUGCAUGUCUGUGUCUUUGUGUGUAUCACUGUAUGUGGCUGUGUCUCUCUGUGUGUCUAUUUCUGCAUGUGUGUGUGUCUGUGUGUGCGUGUGUAUGCAUGUGUGUCUUCUGUGUAGAUGUGUACCUCUGAGUGUGUAUGUGUGUAUCACUGUAUGCGUCUGUGUGUCUGUGUAUCUGUGUCUGGCUGUGUGUGUCUAUCUCUGUGUGUGUCUUGUGUGCAUGUCUAUGUGUGUGUGUGUCAGUGUAUCUGUGUCUGUGUCUAUCUCCGUGUGUGUGCAUGUGUGUAUGUGUGUGUCUUCUGUGUGUCUGUGUCUGGAAGGGGGACCUGGAGGCCCUGCAUUCUAGGCUGUGUGCCUGUGAACAGGUACUUAAUACCCACCCCACCCCCAGCAGGAGUGUCCCCACCUCUAAGGUCAUCCUAAAGUCCCAUGUCCUCUAAGGAUUGUGAGGGUGAACAGGGGACCCUGGGCUCAGAGACAGCAAGGUAGGCUCUGGGCCUGGGCGCUGGGCAGGGGUGGCCACUCAGGGGACUGGGGCUCUUUCUCCCCAGGCCCGAUGGCGGGUGCCAGAAAAUGGACACGACCUUCACCAAGGGUGCUGUACCGGGGCAGUUCAGCAACCCAGCCAUGGCCCUGACUGACAUCCGAGUGGCCUUCUCCGACUACCAGCACUUUGCCUUGCUGUACUUGGAGACGCGGAAAGGGGGCCUGCGGAACCAGUGGCUGCAGCUCUACGGUGGGCGGGCUGCGGGGCGGAGACCCAGACACCCCCGCUUCGGGUCUGGGAUGUCACCCCUGUGCCUGCACCAGCCCGUUCUGCACGCGUAAGGCGGAACCGCUGGCUCCUGGUGUCUGUGGCCGCGGGUCCCGGCCCCUCCCUGCCCCUCUGGCCCCUCCCUGCCCCUCUCUCCCUCUCUCCCUCUCUUCGCCCCUCCAGCCCCUUCCCUUUAGCUUACCUGCCCUCCCCACCUUCAGCUCGAGCGCCCGAGCUGUUUCCCGAAGGCGCCCAGAAGAUGCAGCUACUGGCGCCCCAAGUGGGCCUGAGCCCCAGCCAGGGCGUCCUGCUGCCGAAGUCGGGUGAGCGGUGCCGGCAGCCCUGCUGGGAGGGCCAGGCCCCGGGUCACACCCCUGCUGGGAGGGCCAGGCCCUGGUCACUCCACUGAUCUCAGAUUCGGGACAGAAGUGCCCGGGGCAGACCCAGCCUGUCUGGGUCGGGGGAGGGCGAGACGUUGCCCAGGCCAGUGUUCCCAGGAGGAGAUCGCCUUGGGGCAGGUCGGGGGCCUCCGUCCCAGGGAAGGGGGCGCGGGGUGGCGCCUCAGGCCCGAUCGCUCUGCAGACCAGUGUGCGGGCGCGCUCUCCCGGGUGAGUAGACCAUGGCCAUGCGGAGCCGCGGACCAUGGGCCCUCCCAGCUCGGUGGGCUGCACCGCGGGGCCCUCUACCUUCGGGGCAGCUAGGGACGACAGCGGGGGUGAUGGGGCACCCGGGCGGAUACGAGCCGCAGCAGCCUGGGGAACCGCGGGGCUGCGCGUCGGGAAGGGGCGGAGGCAGGGGACGCCCCCCACCUGCUCCUUGUUUUGCAGUGAGGGGUCCAGCCCCUGAGUGCCCGCAGGGGUCAGCUGCUCCGUGCGCCCAGCCCUCCCCAAAGAGCCCCCUCCCUCCACACCCUGGCCCCAAGCGCAAUAAACACCCUGAAUGCC